GAUGAAGAACGCAGCGAAAUGCGAUAAGUAAUGUGAAUUGCAGAAUUCAGUGAAUCAUCGAAUCUUUGAACGCACAUUGCGCCCGCCAGUAUUCUGGCGGGCAUGCCUGUUCGAGCGUCAUUUCAACCAUCAAGCCCCGGGCUUGUGUUGGGGACCUGCGGCUGCCGCAGGCCCUGAAAUGCAGUGGCGGGCUCGCUGUCACUCCGAGCGUAGUAGUUACAUCUCGCUCUGGGCGUGCUGCGGGUUCCGGCCGUUAAAAGCCUUAUUUACCCAAGGUUGACCUCGGAUCAGGUAGGAAGACCCGCUGAACUUAAGCAUAUCAAUAAGGAGGA
rnacentral:misc_RNA from 1 species